CAGCAGUGAGCAUGAGAUCAUUGCAUUGCAGCAGUGUAGCAAACUGGCACCCUGCCUUUUCACCCCUCUGGUUCAGGAGACAAACGUGUGCAAUCCUCAUUUCUAAAGUCAGUACAGCCUGGAAGGAUUCCUGGUCGCUCCCACCUUCUACCAUUCUGCUGCCAGUGACGGCAAGGAUUGGUGCAGCUUCUGCGCAGUGCUUUGUGACUGGAAUACCGAGAAGGAAGAAAAUGAAGACAAGCACCCUGGUCCUUCUCUGCUAAGAAAUAACAGGAGCCCUGAAGAAAAAAAUCUGAGUUUGUCCUACUACAUGCAAGCGUGCUGAAAAAAAAAAAAAAAAUUGAGACGCUCCUGCUCAAAAACAAAAACAAAAACAAACAAACAAAAAUCCAAACCAAACAAACCAAAAAAAAGCAAACAUUGGCUUGUGUAACUGCAGAGACAUCGGGCAUUGUAAAGCAGCUUUUUAAGGCAACAUAAGCAAAUGAGCCUUCUUUAUUUUUAUUAUUUCAAACAAUAUGGCAUAAUUAGCAAUAUAUUGCACUUGGUGAAAUCGCACCUUUCAUAUCAGGGAAAAACUUAAAAGGAUAUGAGAAGUGAAGAAAGUGAUCAUAGCAGAAAAUCAUCUCAGAAUUCCAGGCAGCAGGCAAUGUGCCAGGCACCGUGCAGGGGACAGGAACAUGGGGGCGAACAAACAAAGAUUAUGGAAAGUGCACUAGACUGAGAAUCAACAAACAUGAAGGCUAGUCCUGGCUCGAGUCACCCAACUUGGAUAGCAAGUCUUUGGAGACAUCUUCUCUGAACCCCUCUCCUUAAAUGAUUUAAGUAUUCUUCCACUGUGCUGUCCUCUAAUUCAUGUCCUAUCUUACCCUAGUGUAGUUAUGUGUUUUUAUGUCUAUCUUUUAUAUCAGCUGUUCCUGAAGGGAGAUGUUAGUCUUAUUCAUCUUGGUAACUUUAGCACAGAGCCUGGCACAUCUUGAUAAUCAAUAAAUGUUUAUUGACUAAAAUACAUUCAAUUGAAUAUUAACCUUUGAUUAAUUUUGGGAAAACACUGCAAGUCUCAUUAAGACUUUCAGGAAGUCUUUUAAUUUCAAUUCUGAUGAAAAUAAAUUACUUGAACCUCAGAACUUCUCAGUACUUGAUUUAAAAGCAAGGUUCAACUUGGGCAAAGAACACUUCUUACAUUCCUCAAAAAAGAAAUGCCCAUGCUUUCGGAGAAUGGAUCUACGGAGGAUACUGAGGGUGGUCAUAAGUGAGGUAAAUGAAGUGGACUGUGUGUGUA